UUUUAAAAAACAUCGCUCCUUGUAGUAAAGCAAAUAGGGAGUCGGACCUGCCCAGUGAAUUUUCAACGGCCGCGGUACUCUGACCGUGCAAAGGUAGCAUAAUAAUUUGCCUUAUAAUUGAAGGCUAGAAUGAAUGGUUUAACGAGAAUAAAGCUGUCUCUUUAUAAUUUUAUAGAAAUUUAUUUACAGAUGAAAAAGUCUGUAUUUUAUUAAAAGACAAGAAGACCCUAUCGAGCUUAAAAACAUUUAGUAGAACAGGAACUUGUUAUAAGCUUAAGAGAGUGAUCUACUAAGAAUUUUGGUUGGGGCGACUAAGGAACAAACAAAGCUUCCUCAUUACUAUUUUUACCUAUUAGUAUUGAUCCAGGAAUUCCUGAUUAAUAAAAUUAGUUACCGUAGGGAUAACAGCAUUAUCUUUUUUGAGAGUUCCCAUCGAAAAAAAGGUUUGUGACCUCGAUGUUGGACCAGAAUGUCCUAAAGAUGCAGCAGUCUUUAAGGGUUGGUCUGUUCGACCAUUAAUAUUCUACGUGAUCUGGUCCCA
rnacentral:rRNA from 1 species